AGCCCAUAUAGAGGAUAGUUGUAGGACCAAAUGAGCUGCCAACUUGCAUAAACAAGCUCAAUGAUACCCAACAAGGGAAGACAAAUCAAGACCUCUAUGAUCCUUAGGCAUGCAAAUCCGGUCCCAUAAAAUAAGAUGAAGCCCUAUAUGGUAUAAAGAAUUGUCCCAUAAAAUAGCAUGGAACUCCUUUUCAAGUUGCAAGAGA
rnacentral:lncRNA from 1 species